rnacentral:rRNA from 1 species
CCAAACUGUUGCCUCGGCGGGAUCUCUGCCCCGGGUGCGUCGCAGCCCCGGACCAAGGCGCCCGCCGGAGGACCAACCAAAACUCUUAUUGUAUACCCCCUCGCGGGUUUUUUUAUAAUCUGAGCCUUCUCGGCGCCUCUCGUAGGCGUUUCGAAAAUGAAUCAAAACUUUCAACAACGGAUCUCUUGGUUCUGGCAUCGAUGAAGAACGCAGCGAAAUGCGAUAAGUAAUGUGAAUUGCAGAAUUCAGUGAAUCAUCGAAUCUUUGAACGCACAUUGCGCCCGCCAGUAUUCUGGCGGGCAUGCCUGUCCGAGCGUCAUUUCAACCCUCGAACCCCUCCGGGGGGUCGGCGUUGGGGAUCGGCCCUGCCUUUGGCGGUGGCCGUCUCCGAAAUACAGUGGCGGUCUCGCCGCAGCCUCUCCUGCGCAGUAGUUUGCACACUCGCAUCGGGAGCGCGGCGCGUCCACAGCCGUUAAACACCCAACUUCUGAAAUGUUGACCUCGGAUCAGGUAGGAAUACCCGCUGAACUUAAGCAUAUCAAUAAGCGGAGGAA